rnacentral:tRNA from 1 species
GAAAAGUUAGUUAAACAAUAACCCUGUCUUGUCAAGACAGUAUUGCAAGUUAAACCCUUGCACUUCUCA